rnacentral:rRNA from 1 species
UACGGAGGGGGCUAGCGUUGUUCGGAAUUACUGGGCGUAAAGCGCACGUAGGCGGCUUUGUAAGUUAGAGGUGAAAGCCCGGGGCUCAACUCCGGAAUUGCCUUUAAAACUGCAUCGCUUGAAUCCAGGAGAGGUGAGUGGAAUUCCGAGUGUAGAGGUGAAAUUCGUAGAUAUUCGGAAAGAACACCAGUGGCGAAGGCGGCUCACUGGACUGGUAUUGACGCUGAGGUGGCGAAAAGCGUGGGGGAGCAAACA